rnacentral:lncRNA from 1 species
AUGGAUGACAUGCUGCCUAUGGGCUCUGCGGAUAGAUCAACACGAGAAAGGACACGCUGUCUUUAAUAUUACUUUAAAAGGUGAACUUCCAUUGGCAUUAGGCUAACUACAUUGCAUUUCCUAAGCUUCCUUCAAAAUGGAAUUUGAAGCAACGUAUUAGUAGAUGACAUAUGCCAGUCUGGCACUUUAAAUGCAUCCUAAAUCACCCUUGGCAACUAUUAUUACCUUUUACACUUCCUUAAUCUGUUCAUCCCCAGCCCUUUGGGACGCUGAAGACUAAUCUCUGCAUUAAGUGAGUCCCGGCUGUUUUGAGUAGGACGCUCAGCCUGUCUCAAAGAGGCCAACAUUCCUGCAGCAACAGUUAGCGACCUUCCUCCCUGCCAGCCACAGCUCUGCUUCCUGCCUACAGGUGCCCUGAACCUUCCCGGCAGGCGCACUCCUCUAAUUGCAAGUGGAGUUUCCACUGGCCUUGGAACAUUUCUCGGGCCUAACGGCAGAAGGGGUUUGACCUACAUCUGUAAGCUGUAAGAGCUCCCUGCAGUGGAAGCACAGACUAGGAGAAAACAAAACCCAGCCCACCAGCAGACGGCGACCCCAUGAAACAGCACAUGCCUAGUUGGCCUCUGCCCGGGCACUGAGCACGGGAUGCCCCACAGGUCUUUACUCAUAGGCAAACGACCUCUAUGGUCCAGAAAACCACAAGCCACGUAAGUUAUCCUAGCCAUGGGGAAUGCCUGGCAGAAGCAAAUGCAAAUUAUUUCUGGAAGGACUCUCCCUUAACCUUGGUUUAAACAAAGUCAAUCCCAACCCAAUCUGGCAUUUGUAACACACAUGAAAUGAGCCACUCCGAGUGAAGGGCAGCAGAAACAAACAUCAUCCUCGCUGAAGAAUAUGAGAUGGCUGUUCAUACACCACAGUCACAGGAAAGGUGAAGUCAAAAACAAGGUGUCAAAAAUAAGGACAGACAUUUGAAAGCCAAAUAAUGACUAGGUAGAAGAGACUGAAAUCUCAAACUCGGGGCACAGUCACAGCCCAAUAGAAAAUUAAUAAACUAGAAGGCAGGAUGAGUAAAUCUGCCAUAAUGCAGCAUAGAAGAACAAAGAAAGGAAAUACAAGAGAGCAUAAAAGGUACGAAAGAUGCAGAAGCGUAGCAUCUGGUCACAUUUCCCCGAAGCCAAGAAGGGGAGAUAACUCUAUUCAAAGAAGCUGAUGAGUUUCCCAAAUCGAUGAAAGACCUCAGGACCCAGAUUUAAAAAGCAAAACAUUCCAAGCAAGAUCAAAGCAAUCUUCACCUACACCAAUUGCUUUGAAGUUGAAGAACAUCAAAAGACAAAGGCUCUCUAAAAGGCAGCCAGAGAGAGAGGGCAGGCUAAGAAAGAGAAGGAAAUAAUUAGGAUGACAGGCAACUCAUGAACAACAAUAAUAAAAGCCAGAAGACUGCGGAGUAAGUUCAAAGAGGAGAGAGAAAUGUCAUCUCUAAAAUGGUGUAACAUUAGGUAUCGUUUAAGAUCCAGGAGAAAAGCAGAGACCAAGAAGAAACACGUCAUUAUGAGCCUGCUCUCGCUAGAGGCAUAGUGAAGGAAGGGCUGAGUGCAAGAAAGCAUGUUAAGCAAAGAGACGUGUGAGUGUGUGAGUUAAUGUAAAACCUGGAAUGGAACAGUCAUAACGAGGAGUCACCAAGGCCAAAUUACCCUCCUGAACAAAGACACGGGGGUGGAGAGGAGGGUGCUUAGAGCCACAGCGACGUGAGAUUGCGGCUUCAUCUGGGAGGAAAGUGAGUCUCAUUAUCCUCAGGCUCAGAAAAUCACUAAAGUUCAGCACUUGAAUGAGAGGUAAGAGUAAUUCCUAUUUUUAGUUGGGGAAAAGUAUUAUGGUUUAGAUGAUCCCAUGCUUGGCGGCAUCACCCUCGCCAACUGAGCCAGCCUGCUCUGCCUCGGACUUGGCCGGGGGUUGAGCCCAGCCGCACAGGGACAGCAGUUCGCUGGGCUGGAUCUUCAAGGCUGAGUGGUCAGGGGAAUUUGAAGGCACGCUGGUCAGGCUUGUUCUUUUUGGGGGCACGCUUCUGAGGGUUUCCUUUCUGACCUACGGAAGCCUUUCGCCAAGGCCUGUCUUUUAGAUCGUGGCUUCUGACUUCAGUUUUGAAAGUUUGUCUGUGCCAUCUUCUUGAAAAGGGCAGGAGAGAAAAAACUGGACUAAGAAGCAUAAGAAAAGCUUUCAGGAAAAUUCUGUAGCAACAAAUAAGAUGGUAAUGGGUGUGUCAGUGAUCACAGGAAAUGUCAAUGAGCCAAACUUGUCAGUUAAGAGAUUAUACAACUAAACUAAAAUAAAAUCUAGCUACCUUCUGUUUACAGGAGACAAAUAUGGAGACACAGAAACAUGCAAAUGUUUCUUAAAAAAUGAAAAGAUAUAAUGAGGAAACAAAUAAUUAAGAAGAAAGCUGAUACAGCUGUAUUAAUAUCAAAAUAGAUUUUAAUGGGAAACAAAAGUAAUAUUGGGAUAAAGAGUAGUACUUAAUGACUUUUAAAUGGUUCAAUUCACCAGGAAGAUAAUCUAAAACUUCUAUUUUUGGUUACGUUUUUAAAGUAAAAAUAUGGCAGAAUGACAAUGAAAACAUAAUAUCCAUAAUCUUGGGGGCAUGUCACUAUACCUAUUUGAUGACUGACAUCAGCAGUCCCAAAGUUAGUAAGAGAAAUCGAAAUCCCAUUCUCCAAUCACAAUGAAAUUUAGUUAGAAAUUGGUAACUGCUAGGAAAACUUUCACACAUCUAAUUAUUUUUAAAAAACAUUUAUAAACAGUUCACAAAUCAAAUAUGAAAUGCUAAUGAUAAAAUUUACCCAGAAAUUAUGAAUGUCAAAAUUUGUAGGAUUCAGCUAAAAUGGUACCCCUGCAAGAAAUCCAUAGCUUUGAAUGCCUUACUAGAGAGGAACGCUGAAAAUCAAGCCUGAAUAUUCAACUUGGGUUAGAAAAAAACAAUAGCCCAAAGAAAGCGACACUGAAGAGAAGUUAAUGAAACAGUAGAAAGAACAAAGAAGCUGGUUCUUUAGGGGAAAAAAGCUUAAAAAUGGUUAUGUUCUGGGUAAGACUCAUCGUAAAUAGAGAUGAAAGGAAUAAAAGGCACAUGAACAAUUUUAAACAUGCAAAAGCAAGCCUAACCAGGAACACAGCUAAGGGGGAGACGCACACCAUGGACAACGUUAUGCUGACAUAUCUGACAACUAAAGACAAUUCCAUGGAAAACUUGCCAAAAUUAACGAGAAAUAGUAAAUCUCUAUAACUAUCAGAAAAAAAGAAUAGGUAACUCUUCAAAUAGAGUAGUCACUGGUAACAGCAUUGGAGGCAAGUUCUACUCAACACUCAGGAAUGCAUGAGACACGUGCACUUGCAGAAAGAUCCAAUACCACUAAGAGGUCCAGUGUGUCUCCGUGCAGAAACUUACUGCAAUUCCGCUCAAACUGUAGACAAGGUUCGUCAACAAACUUGAAACUGUAACACUUAUACCAACGGACAAGACCCCAAGAAGAGUCAUGGCAACUAUGAAGAAAAUAAAUGCACACAGAUGUGCAGAGCAGGUCAGGAAUGGCUCCAGCAGACUCAAGCUUCACUAGAAAACAUUUUCUCAGCUCCAGCACUCCUGACACUUUGUGCCAGAUCGUUCUUGGUUGUGGGGUGUCCUGGGUAGUGUGGGGUGUUUAACUGCAUCCCUGGCCUCUGCCCACUAGAUGCCAAUAGCACACCCUUACCACCCCAGGCACGACAACCAAAAUGGGUCUCCAGACAUUGCCAAAUGUCCCCUUGGGGGCAAAAGUGUCCCCAGCUGAGAACCAACACUUGAUGACUAAGUAGACUACAGUAUGGUUUUGGCUCAGGGACGGGCGGCAGAAGAAUGGAGCCGAAAAGAGAGGCUUGAAGAUUCCUGAAUAUACAGAAACUGCCAAAGGUGUCGUUUCAUUCCAACAGAUUAGCAAAAAUUUAAAAAUCUGAUGCUACCAAGUGCCGGCGAAGAUGUAAUCAGAAUGUGCAUAUGUGGCUGAGGAGACUAUAAACUGGUGCAAAUGUUUUGGCAAGAAAUUUGACAGCAUCUAGUGAAAUGAAAGACAGCCAUGUCAUUGUGACCAGUAAUUCCUCUCCUAGUUAUAUACCCUAAAGAAAUGGUUUCCAAAGUGUGGUCCCCUCAGCAUCACCUGGUAACUUGGUUAUAAUGCAAAUCCUCAGGCCCCACCUCACACCUGCAGUGGGCCCAGGAAUCCAUGUUUGAACAGCCCUCCAGGGGACUGUGGGACUGCUCAAGCCUGAGAACAGCUGGUCUUAAAGCAACUCUUACGUAUAUGUACAGAGAGAGAAAUUAUAAGAAUGUCCAAGGCCGGGUGUGGUGGCUCACGCCUGUAAUCCCAGCACUCUGGGAGGCCCAGGUGGGAGGAUCACUCGGGCCAAGGAGUUCGAGACCAGCCUGGGCCACACAGUGAGACCCUGUCUCUCCAAAAAAAUAAAAAAUUAGCCCGGCAUGGUGGUGCACACCUGUCGUCUCAGCUACUCGGGAGUCUGAGGUGGGAGAACCACUUGAACCCAGGAGUUCCAGACUGCAAUGAGCUAUGACCACGCCACUGCACUCCAGCCUGGGUGACAGUGAGACUCCAUCCUAAAACAAACAAAAGUCCAUGCCGGCAUUGUUUUUAUUAAAUAAGAAAACUGGAAACACCCAUCAAUACAUCAAUGAAUAAAUUACAUUUAUUCAAUGGAAAUAAAUAUUUAAGGAUGGAAAUCAAAUUAGAGGUGAAUAUAUCAGUAUGGAUGAUUCUCAAAAUCAUAGCACUUAGGUGCACUGUUGCCUGUUAAUUCUAUCUUUUCUAACUUUAUUGUAAUUUUAUCAUUAGCCCCAAACCUCGUUCUCUUCCCAGGGCACUGGGUCCACGCUGGAGCAUCCCAGAGCUGAUCAAUCCCUCUGGAAGCAGGGACACCCCUGGCUCCAUAGGAUUCCAUUUUGCUGAACUACUGGUUCAGAAACACAAGAGCCUGACAUCUAUGGGAACACAGAGCCAGAAAACCCAGGCACAGACCAGGACAUCUCCGAGGUAUUUCCAGCAGGUAUCUGCUAGACGCGUUCUCUCUGCCAGCCCGCUGACUUGCUAGCUGUGGAGCAACUGCAGUACGUGCCCGUCCCUGUCACCAGGGGCUGGCCAUCAACAGAAGCUGCUCCUUCCAAGCCGGCCACGCGUCUACUACUUCAUCAUCCUCUCGGGGGUGCAUCCACGGCUCUCCCUACAAUGGGAGCUUCCUGAGAGGCACUUUCAUUUCUCUGUGCUUCCUCUGGGCUCACCAGCAAGUGCUAAACUGAAGGAAGAUAGAGUUAAAUUGUUUAGCAAUCAGAGUUUCUAUGACUGUCCAUCAUCACUGCAUCUCUUCUAUGACAUGAGACAUUGGUGCGAUGUGUCAUUAUGUUCAAAUGUGUGGGUCGGCCAGGGUGUAUCUGUAUGGACUGAAUGUGUCCCCAUAAAAUUUGUAUGUUGAAGCCCUAACCCCCAAUAUGAGGAUAUUUGGAGCUGGGGCCUUUGGGAGGUAAUUAAGUUAGAUGAGGUCAGAUGGACAUGGCCCCUGUGGUUGAGAUUAGCCCUAAUACCAAGAGAUAGCAGAGAGCUCCACCCUACUGUUGGCCACGUGCACACAUAGGGAGAAGGGGGCCGUCUAUAAGCAAGGAAGAGAGCCCUCAUCAGAAACCGAUCGCGCCAGCAUGCUGAUCUUGGAUCUGAGGCCUCCAGAACUGAGGGAAAAUAAAUGUCUGCUGUUGAAGUCACCCAGUCCAUAUUGUUUUGUUAUGGCAGCUGGGGUAAGACAGUGUCCUUCUCGGUUUCUACCCUUAACAGGAUAAAAAUCCCUGGAGCAAACCCUCUCCUUCCUCCCAAAGGAGCCAUGGGAAGCCACUCUCUACAAUUUGCAGCAAACACGGAAGCACCAGAAUCCUGCACGUAUGCUCGGAGGAAACGCACAGAGGACAAAUGCAGGGUCGCAGGAUACAAGAAUGGCAAAGGCUGACUCCAGAGAACGUUGUUAAGCUUCAAAUCUAUACUGUGCAUUGGAAGGUAAACAAGCAUCAUCCACACAACUAACUGACUGCAUUCACCAGCACACUCUGAAGUCUUCAACUACUGCUAUUAAUCUAUUUUUCUCAACAUUAUUUUCUUUCCUCAUUCUUGGAUUUCUUUUUAUUUAUGUAUUUAUUUUUUGAGAUGGAGUCUUGCUCUGUCGCCAGGCUGGAGUGCAGUGGCGCGAUCUCAGCUCACUGCAACCUCUGCCUCCCGGGUUCAAGUGAUUCUCCUGCCUCAGCCUCCUGAGUAGCUGGGACUACAGGCACAUGUCACCACGCCCAGCUAAUUUUUGUAUUUUCAGUAGAGACGAGGUUUCACCAUGUUGGCCAGGAUGGUCUCCAUCUCUUGACCUCGUGAUCCACCCACUUCGGCCUCCCAAAGUGCUGGGAUUAUAGGCGUAUGCCACUGCGCCUGGCCUCAUUCUCGGAUUUCUUUAACCUCUCCUUGGAGGGGACACAGAACUGGAUGACAAGGAAGAAACACUCCUGGGAGAUGUGGUUGGGGGCAGGAUAGAGAGAACAAAGGCCAGGGCCAGGCAAGGCUGGGGAAAGGAUGAAGGCUGAGAUUUGGGGGGUGAGGGAGGUGUCCAGAAGAUGAUGAGACGUUCAGGAGAAUGGGAGGGCAGGAAAACAGGGCAAGGUUUGGACGGGUCUCCCCGCUGCCGGGGGUCUGGUACUGCCUGUGCAGCGCAGGCUGGAGGGAAAAUGUAAGCUGCCCAGUGCCGCUGCCCUGCCCACCCCUGCUGCACCUCUGAGUCACUCAGUUCUUCCAAAGGAAAAGCUGGGAAGAAGGAGUUCGGUGUCUGGACUUCUAAUCAGCUUGUUCCUUACAGCACUAUUUACUGAGGGAAAGAUUUUAAAUGUUCAGCUAGGAAAACUGGUGGAAUAUAUUAGGAUACAUCAUGACAAAAAGAUGCAGCCUUUGACACACAACCUCUUAUAGUAUUUUUAACAACAGGCGGAAAGAGCCCUAUGUAACAUGAAGAAAAGUUAGAGACAAAGCCAUAUAUAUGUACGGUCCAGUCAGAUACCAAUUAGAUAAGCAGACUCGACAGAGACUAGAAAGAACACACGAAAAGCAGUAACAGGGACUAUUCUGUACUGGAGAAUUAAGGGCUAUUUUUCUUUUUUUCCAUUUUGGUAAUUUUGCAGGUUCUCUAGAAGCAUAAUUUGUGUUUGUAAUCUUUUUUUUUUUUUUUUUUUUUUGAGACAGUCUCACUCUGCCACCUAGGCCGGAGUGCAGUGGUGCGAUCUCGGCUCAUGGCAACCUCCGCCUCCCGGGUUCAAGUGAUUCCCGUGCUUCAGCCUCCUGAGUAGCUGGGAUUAGAGACACGCGCCACCACGGCCGGCUAAUUUUUGUAUUUUAGUAGAGAUGAGGUUUCACCAUGUUGGCCAGGUUGGUCUCAAACUCCUGACCUCGGGUGAUCUGCCUGCCUUGGCCUGCCAAAGUGCUGGGAUUACAGGCGUGAGCCACCACGCCUGGCUGUAUCUGUAAUCUUUAGAGGUAUUAAAAAAAAUAUAUCUUCAACUAAAGCUUAGACUGAUAGAAGAGGCAAAAGCAGGGCAAGAGAGAGGUGGCCCGACGCACACAUUUUGGUUGCUGGGGUCUCAUAACAGAACGGAACUUCUGAGGAUUCUGCCCCAUGCCCUGCUCUGGGGAGAGGGGUCCAUCGCCACCCCGCACAGCCGGUGAGUCCCCACACCAGCAGCCCCAGCCCCCACUCGCCUCGCCGCUCUGCAAUCUGCAGGUAGCCAGUGGACAGGUACUGCUCCAUGUCCUGCUGGAAGGCUUCCUCAAAAAACUUCUGCCGCU